ACAGAAUGCAACAGAACUGUCCCUGCUGCAGAAGUCUCAGGGUUCUGCCCCAACUGCAUAGACUUCUUUCAUGGAACCGGCUCCUCUAUCCCCACAAGGCUUCUCCCCAGCACAGCUUCUACCUAGAAUCAGACGGAGAGCUUUAGACCAGGUAAGAACUCUGGGCCAAUGUAAAUCAGGAGCGCCAGGCUGUCCCAGCCUCUGCCCUGACUUGCUCUAUGAGUUUGGCAAAUUCCUUAAUCUGCCCAUGCCUCUCUUUCUGUGUUGUUAACAUGAUGAUGUUGGCCUAGAGCAGGGGCUGGCAAACUUUUUAUGUAAAGAGACAAAUAUAAUAUUUUAGGCUUGUAGACCACAUGGUCAGUAUCUCUCUCAACUAUCCAAAGCCACCACUGUAGCAUGAAAGCAGCCACAGAUGGGUUGUAAAUGGAGGGGCGUGGUUGUAUUCCAAUAAAACUUUAUUUACAAAGACAAGUGGUGAACAAGAUUGGCCAGUGGACUGUAUUUUGCCAACUCCUGGACUAAAUCUCUAAGGAUCUUUGCAACACUGAAAUACCGUACUACCUGGAUUGUUUUACAGAGAGAAAACGGAGGCGUGGUGACACCAAGUGACAUGCUCCAAGCCGCUGAACAUGUUGGUGGCAGAGCUAGAACUCGACACCAAGUCUCCUGGCUUUAGUCCACUGUGGCUCUCAAUCCUCGCACACGCAGAGCACAGACCGUUUUUGGUACACGAGGCUUACCCUGGGAACUGCCCUCCCUCUGUGGCUUGGCGAGGGGGGUCGGGGGAAAGGGUAGGGAGGAUGUGAGGGGUGGGGAGCAGUGCUCUCUCUGCCUGUUUCAGGAAGGCUCUCUGGUUUGGUGAGAGCCCACACUUUGUUAAGUGAGAUAAGGGACACUACAAGAAAAGGAGGGGGUGGGUGGGCAGAGGACAUCACGCUGCUUAUUUUGAACCUGGGAAAACUGUGCCUUAGGAGAGGGAAGUCCUGCAUAUUUCAUGCUGUGACUUCUUGCUUCCAAACUGCGUAUGCUGGCCUCCUUUUCACCCAGAUGGUGCUGCAGGGAACAAGGCCCCACCAGUGUGUGCUCUUCCUGUGUGUCCAAAUUUCCACCAAAGAGGGCUCCUCCCAGGAGAUUGGCUGCCGAACCUGUUCUUCCACGGCAGAAGCGGCGCAGCUAGCCCAGCACGACUCUGCUUAUUGUUACGCUUCUGCCACAUGUGUGUAAAUUUGUAAGGAACUUGCCGCUCCUGGCUGAAGACCCAGGGAGCUUUUGCGCUGUUAAUCUGUUUUCCUUUUUGCCCUCAGCCUUUGCUCUUCAGGGGAGAGGCCGUCGAUAAGGUCCAAUGGGGUGGGGUGACACCUCUUGGGCUCAGAAUCUCAAGGGUCCCAAGGUCCAGUCAGUGAGAGCCUUCUGUCUACAUGCCACCCUGUCCCCUCUGUGUGGAGCCCUCAGCAGGACCCUGGCCACAGGGCUCUGGAGCAAUAAUAUUACCCCAUGACAACUGUCGUGACUGCUACCUCAAAAAGUAAGACAGUCCUGCCAUCUACGUUCAUGGAGCUCCGAGGAGCAGCUCAGUUCUGUUUGUUGUGACAGGAUUUUAUAGCAAAAUUUGCAUGAAAGACAUGAAGCUCAGCAAUUGGUUUGCGACAGAGGCGUUUUCUUGCCAAAUGAGGAAGUGAGAUGAUCAGAACUGGCUUUAGCAUGAGCCUGGAUUGGGGAACUCAGCUGGUUCUGGGCUCAUACAACUUCACCUGUGAAGGUAUAUGGAAUUCAUGGUCAGCCCACAUCUUCUAGCUGCAGGUUCAGUUCAGGGUGAUCCCUACCUGGAGUUCUAGACUACCAGGCCAGUUUUGGAGGGUCCCGAAGGUAUGAAUAAGUGGUCCUGCAAACCCCAGCCCACCCUCACAUAUCCUAAAAGAAACUAUGGCAGUUGGAGCCUGAGUUUUCUGGGUGACUGCUUCUCUAUCUUUGUCUCUCUCUCUCGCCCACACCCGCCAUUACUGCCAAACUCAGUUGCAAGGAUUCCUGACCUAUUUUUGCUCUCUAGCCUCUGCCUUUGCUGACAAUGUCAGCCUCUGCUUUGAAAGCCCUUCCCUCUCUGGGCUGCUUCCAUUAGUCCUUCAGCUUCCGAAUCUUAUGGCUCUCACCAUCCCUUUCCUUGUGUUUCUGUUAUUCAUAUCCCAAAGCCCUUCCAAAUAGUGAUAUUCUCCAGGGCAAGGAUCCUCUCCAAUUUAUUAUCAUAUCCCUGGAUCCUCCUAUGACCUUUGGCAUAGCUGUUGGAGGAGUGAGCAGAUGAGUGAGUAAGUAACUGAUCUUCUCCUCACCCAUCCUCAGAGGAAGACCACGGGACAGGUGUGAGUGGUGCCUCCCAAAGAUACUCCAAAUACCAACCCCUAGCACCUGUGGAUGUGACUUUAUUUGGAAAUUGGGUCUUGGCAGAUGUCAUUAAGUUAAAGAUCUUGAGAUGAGAUCAUCCUGAAUUUAGAGUGGGCCUUAAAUCCUGAUAAAGAGACAGAAAAAGAGAAGACACAGAGACAUACACAGGAGAGAGCCAUGUGAAGCCAGAGGCAGAGAUUGGAAAGAUUUAUCUAUAAGAAAAGCCAAGAACUGCCAGAAGCUAGGAGAGAGGCAUGGGAUAAAUUUUCCCAUUCCUCACACCAUUCACAAAAAUUAACUUAAAAUGGAUCAAAGACUCAAAUGUAAAGCUAAAAUUAUGAAAACCCCUAAAAGAAAAGAUGGGAUAAAUCUUAAUGACCUAGCAUUAGGCAAUGGUUUCUUAGAUAUGACUCCAAAAGCAUGAGCAACAAAAGAAAAAAUAGUUAAGUUGGAUUUCAUUGAUACUAAAAAUAUUUGUAUUUCUAAGAACACCACCAAGAAAGUAUAAAAGACAGCCAAAAGAAUGGGAGAAAAAUUUUGCAAACCAUAUAUCUGAUAAGGGGUUUGUAUCUAGAAUAUAUAAAUAACUCUUAAAACUCAAUACUAAAAAGACAAUGAACACAAUCUGAAAACGGUCAAAAGACUAGGUGCAGUGGCUCACACCUGUAAUCCCAGCCCUUUGGGAGGCUGAGGCGGGAGAACUGCUUAAGCCCAGGAGUCCUCAUCAAUUUCUUUUUGGGCAGGAAUGUUGUUGCAUGCCUAUAGUUCCAGUUACCCUGAAGGCUAAGGUAGGAGGAUGGCUUGAGCCUAGGUGUUUGAGGUUACAGUGAGCUAUGAUUGUACCAUUGCUCUCCAGCCUGAGCAACAGAGAGACACUUGUUCUCUCUUUUUUUUUUAAAUAAAGGCAAAAGAUCUGAAAGCUAUUUCUCCAUAAGACUAUAUACAAUGAUCAAUAAACACAUAAAAAGAUGAGUCAUUAGCUAUCAGGGAAAUGCAAAUAAAAACCACAAUGAAAUUAUAUAACACUAGAUGGCUGUCAUAAAAAAGACAAAUAAUAAAAAUUGUUGGUGAGGGUGUGGAGAAAUCAGAAUUCUCAUACGCUGCUGGUGGAAAUGUAAAAUAGUGGAGAGACUCUGGAAAACAGUCUGGCAAUUCCUCAAAAGGUUAAACAUAGAGUUACCACAUAAGCCCAUUCUAUUCCAUUUCUAGGUAUAUAACCAAGAGAAAUGAAAACAUACACCCAUGCAAAAAUUUGUGCCAAAAGUUCAUAGUAACAUUAUUCAUAAUAGCCAAAAAGCGCAAACAACCCAAAUGUCCCAAAUGUCUAUCAAGUGAUGAAUGGAUUAAAAAUUGUGUUAUACCCAAACACCAGACUAUUACUCAGCCAUACGAAGGAGGUGCGCACUCACGUUACAACACAAAUAAACCUUGAAAAUAUUAUACUAAGUGAAAGAAGCUGGUUACCAAAAAAACCCCCACAUAUUAUAUGAUUCGAUUUAUAUGAAAUGUCCAGAAUAGGCAAAUCCAUACAAGCACAAAGUAGAUUCUUGGUUUCCCAGGGCUGGAGAUGGAGGAGAUGAGGGAAGUUAAGGGGUGACAGCUGAAAGGGUGACAGCUAAAAGGGAUGGAGGUUUCUCUGAGAGGCUGGGGAAGAUGUUUGAAAUUGUACUGUGGCAAUGGUUGGUGGCACAGCUCUGUGAAUAUAGUAAAAGCCACUGAGUGGUACAAUUGAAACCA
rnacentral:lncRNA from 1 species